UACGUAGGGGGCAAGCGUUGUCCGGAUUUAUUGGGCGUAAAGAGCUCGUAGGCGGUUCGGUAAGUCGGGUGUGAAAACUCUGGGCUCAACCCAGAGAGGCCACCCGAUACUGCUGUGACUAGAGUGCGGUAGGGGAGCGGGGAAUUCCUGGUGUAGCGGUGAAAUGCGCAGAUAUCAGGAGGAACACCAGCGGCGAAGGCGCCGCUCUGGGCCGUAACUGACGCUGAGGAGCGAAAGCAUGGGUAGCAAACAGG
rnacentral:rRNA from 1 species